UUUUUAAUCUACGUUAGUUUAUAGCUUUUGUUUCUUCUUCUUGUUUGAUCUCAUAGUUUUGUAUUAUUUUGCCAACUUGUAGUUGGUUAGAUUUGGUAUAUGGAAUUAUGGCCACAGGCGGGCAGAAUUGAUGAUUUCGAAUUGUGGAAUUUAGAGAGGAUAGCUUGUUCUUAACGGUUUUGGUUUAGGAGGUUUUUGAUUCUGGUUUAGGUUGACGGGAG
rnacentral:misc_RNA from 1 species